UACACUCCUGCGGGAGGCAGCAGUGGGGAAUAUUGGACAAUGGGCGCAAGCCUGAUCCAGCCAUGCCGCGUGAGUGAUGAAGGCCCUAGGGUUGUAAAGCUCUUUCACCGGUGAAGAUAAUGACGGUAACCGGAGAAGAAGCCCCGGCUAACUUCGUGCCAGCAGCCGCGGUAAUACGAAGGGGGCUAGCGUUGUUCGGAUUUACUGGGCGUAAAGCGCACGUAGGCGGACUAUUAAGUCAGGGGUGAAAUCCCGGGGCUCAACCCCGGAACUGCCUUUGAUACUGGUAGUCUUGAGUUCGAGAGAGGUGAGUGGAAUUCCGAGUGUAGAGGUGAAAUUCGUAGAUAUUCGGAGGAACACCAGUGGCGAAGGCGGCUCACUGGCUCGAUACCGACGCUGAGGUGCGAAAGCGUGGGGAGCAAACAGGAUUAGAAACCCUAGUAGUCCCAUGA
rnacentral:rRNA from 1 species